rnacentral:rRNA from 1 species
UUCGCAAUGCCCGAAAGGGUGACGAAGCGACGCCGCGUGUGGGGAGAAGGCCUUCGGGUUGUAAACCACUGUCGGGAGUUAAGAAAUGCAAGGGUGCUAAUAGUAUCCUUGCUUGACUAAGGCCCCGGAGGAAGCCACAGCUAACUCUGUGCCAGCAGCCGCGGUAAUACAGAGGCGGCAAGCGUUGUUCGGAAUUAUUGGGCGUAAAGAGCACGUAGGCGGCUAUGUAAGUCGGUUGUGAAAGCCUUCCGCUCAACGGAAGAACAGCAUCCGAUACUGCAUGGCUUGAGUGCGGGAGGGGAGAGUGGAACUUCUGGUGGAGCGGUGAAAUGCGUAGAUAUCAGAAGGAACGCCGGCGGCGAAAGCGGCUCUCUGGCCCAUAACUGACGCUGAGUGUGCGAAAGCUAGGGGAGCAAACGGGAUUAGAUACCCCGGUAGUCCUAGCCGUAAACGAUGGGCACUAAGUAGAGGGGUUUU